rnacentral:rRNA from 1 species
CAUGGCUCAGGAUGAACGCUGGCGGCGUGCCUAAUACAUGCAAGUCGAACAAGUUCUGAUUAUUGAAAGGUGCUUGCAUCUUGAUUUAAUUUUGAACGAGUGGCGGACGGGUGAGUAACACGUGGGUAACCUGCCCUUAAGUGGGGGAUAACAUUUGGAAACAGAUGCUAAUACCGCAUAAAUCCAAAAACCGCAUGGUUCUUGGCUGAAAGAUGGCGUAAGCUAUCGCUUUUGGAUGGACCCGCGGCGUAUUAGCUAGUUGGUGAGGUAACGGCUCACCAAGGCAAUGAUACGUAGCCGAACUGAGAGGUUGAUCGGCCACAUUGGGACUGAGACACGGCCCAAACUCCUACGGGAGGCAGCAGUAGGGAAUCUUCCACAAUGGACGCAAGUCUGAUGGAGCAACGCCGCGUGAGUGAAGAAGGCUUUCGGGUCGUAAAACUCUGUUGUUGGAGAAGAAUGGUCGGCAGAGUAACUGUUGUCGGCGUGACGGUAUCCAACCAGAAAGCCACGGCUAACUACGUGCCAGCAGCCGCGGUAAUACGUAGGUGGCAAGCGUUAUCCGGAUUUAUUGGGCGUAAAGCGAGCGCAGGCGGUUUUUUAAGUCUGAUGUGAAAGCCCUCGGCUUAACCGAGGAAGUGCAUCGGAAACUGGGAAACUUGAGUGCAGAAGAGGACAGUGGAACUCCAUGUGUAGCGGUGAAAUGCGUAGAUAUAUGGAAGAAACACCAGUGGCGAAGGCGGCUGUCUGGUCUGUAACUGACGCUGAGGCUCGAAAGCAUGGGUAGCGAACAGGAUUAGAUACCCUGGUAGGUCCAUUCCGUAAACGAUGGAAUGCUAGGUGUUGGGGGGUUUCCGCCCUUCAGUGCCGCAGGUAACGCAUUAAGCAUUCCGCCUGGGGAGUGGGACCGCAAGGUUGAAACUCAAAGGAAUUGGACGGGGGACCGCACAAGCGGUGGAACCAUGUGGUUUAAUUCGAAGCAACGCGAAGAACCUUACCAGGUCUUGACAUCUUUUGAUCACCUGAGAGAUCAGGUUUCCCCUUCGGGGGCAAAAUGACAGGUGGUGCAUGGUUGUCGUCAGCUCGUGUCGUGAGAUGUUGGGUUAAGUCCCGCAACGAGCGCAACCCUUAUGACUAGUUGCCAGCAUUUAGUUGGGCACUCUAGUAAGACUGCCGGUGACAAACCGGAGGAAGGUGGGGAUGACGUCAAAUCAUCAUGCCCCUUAUGACCUGGGCUACACACGUGCUACAAUGGAUGGUGCAACGAGUUGCGAGACCGCGAGGUCAAGCUAAUCUCUUAAAGCCAUUCUCAGUUCGGACUGUAGGCUGCAACUCGCCUACACGAAGUCGGAAUCGCUAGUAAUCGCGGAUCAGCACGCCGCGGUGAAUACGUUCCCGGGCCUUGUACACACCGCCCGUCACACCAUGAGAGUUUGUAACACCCGAAGCCGGUGGCGUAACCCUUUUAGGGAGCGAGCCGUCUAAGGUGGGACAAAUGAUU